rnacentral:piRNA from 1 species
UCACGGUCGUAAGGAGAAUAUUUGGUU